rnacentral:tRNA from 1 species
GCCUGGGUGGCUUAGUCAGUUAAGCGUCUGACUUCAGCUCAGGUUAUAAUCUCGCAGUUCUUGAGUUCGAGCCUCACGUUGGGCU